GACGAACCACACGAACGUUAUUCGGAAUUACUGGGCUUAAAGGGUGCGUAGGCGGCGCAGAAAGUUGGGUGUGAAAUCCCUCGGCUCAACCGAGGAACUGCGCCCAAAACUACUGUGCUUGAGGAAGAUAGAGGUAAGCGGAACUUACGGUGGAGCGGUGAAAUGCGUUGAUAUCGUAAGGAACACCUGUGGCGAAAGCGGCUUACUGGGUCUUUUCUGACGCUGAUGCACGAAGCCAGGGGAGCAAACGGG
rnacentral:rRNA from 1 species